UAUACAACGAGUUUCUUCGGAUUCAAGGGCUACCGAAAAUCUCCUACUUCGCGCCCCUCGAAUCAUGAGGUCUGUAAUUUAUCUUCCCUCUCUGACUCGAACUACUCCUCAAGACAAGAUUAGGGAACCUUUCACAUCGACAAAGAUAACAACAAUCAAAAGUUUUGUUUCCGGGCACCUCUUAGUACUUCUCCUUUGCAUCUGCUUUCAUUUUGUUUCAUUUGAAUCUCUAUAUAACUUGCUCUUCCGUCCAUAGUUUCAACAAAACCAUUAGCUAACUUGGAGGCACUGAUAAACUUUUGGCUGCUGCAUUUUUCAACGCUCAAAAACCAUAUAUGUGAAGGAGAAUCCUUUGCUGGUUGUUUUCAUCCACAUGAUUUUGUCCACAAUAAUUGUCUUAUUGUCUUAACAGGGAGCCCACUUAUUGCAAUUUGCAGACUCUUCGUGUAAUUUAGGUAAAGUUUCAUGUUCUUUGUUCUUUUGCUUCUUUUUCAGGUUUUUCUCUUUAACACAUCAUGGGUUUCAUUCUCUCUCUUCCAUUAUUUCACUUCCUAAGUAACAUUUAUUUCUUUUUUUAAUACAAUUUUUGUUUCUUUGGUAGGAUAUUAACUCGAAAUUAAUUAUUUAGUGCACCAUAACGUGUAAUAUGUUCUUCCUUUAUAUUAUUUUGUUCUUGGUUGUGCGUUUAUGACUCAGUCUUAGGAUAGAGUAGAUAGCUGAAUCAGAAUUAUAAUCAUCUUAUUUAUUCUUUGGAGUGCAUUUAUGACCCAAUUUUGGGACAGGGCAGAUAGCUGAAUCAUAAUAAUAAUAAUCAUCUUAUCCAUUGAGUUACCCAGCCAAGCCAUGGGUCAUUGCUGAUAGAUAUUGUCUUUUUUGAAUUUUUCUUUUUCGGCUUCUCCUCAAAGUUUUGAGUUUGUGAUUGUCUAAGUCUAUUGCUAACAGAUAUUGUUCUUUUUGUGCUUUUCCUUAUGAUUGUCUAAGUCUAUUGCUAGUAGAUAUUGUUCUUUUUGUGCUUUUUCGUGUGAUUGUCUAAGUCUAUUGCUAGCUGAUAUCGUUCUUUUUGUGCUUUUCCUUUCAAGUCUGUUAGGUAGAAGUUUUCACAUCUCAAUAAAGAAUGUUUUGUUUCCUUCUCCAACUGACGUGGGAUC